GAUUUGCUUUGAGUUUGAGUUUAAGGAAGAUCAUUUUAGAAUUUUUUAUAUUAAGAAGCCUGAUUUACUUUUUUAUUUGAAAUGGCAUGAACAAAUUAAAAUAUGUGAAAUAUCAAGCAGCCCAAUACUUUAAGAGGCCACUGUAUAUCAUUCAUUCAUUUUAUAUACCCACAUACUGCAGUCAAGGGUCAUGGGAGUGCUGGAACCUAUUCCAGCAGUCAAAGGCGGGGUACACUGUGGACAGGAUUCCAGUCUUUCGCACCCGGAGGGAAUCCACUCGCAUACAGGGAGAAUGUGCAAAGGACCAGACACAGAAAGGUACCAGACAGGAAGAGAUUUGAGUACCUUCCUGCUGUGAGGCAACCAUGCUAACCACUAACCCACCACACUGCCUGCAACUAUAUCAAUGUUUUUUAACAAUAUAUACCUCAUUGCAAAGAUUUUUUUAAAGCGUUUACUGUAUAACAGUAAGCUAAAAGCUGACACCAUUCUUGACACUGCUUACUUAUGUUGCCUCAAAUACAGGUGGUUUCAUAUAUGAACUAUAAGAGCAGGUUACUCAAGUGAUAUAUCACGUCCUGGGUUUUGGGGCCAUAUAGAAAAAAAAUCCAUAAAUCUAGAUGAAUUGAAAUUCGGCCUCCAAAUGUUUCCAAUAAAUAAAUAGUAAUGUGGUUGCUGCUGUAGUCUAUUUGAGGGAUCCAUGAUGCCAAGUUGAUCAUACUGGAGACAAUUUUCCAAUAACAUAAAUAGAAACACACAAGGUAGCAGACAAAUGUCCUAAAUCUGUCAUGCUUCAUCUGAUAAGUUAUUGUCAAAUCAUAUACCCUUCUGUAUAUUUUUCCAGCUCUCAAUGCUCACUGUGACUGACAGCUUGCAUUUAUUGCAUUCACACUCCUUGCAAACCCUCUUAAGCCAAAGAGGUCCGCAUACACUUGAUAUCUCAUACAACGGUACCCAACCCUAAACCGUGCUAUCCUGACUGUGUAGCAUUACUGUGUAUUGUUGCUGUACCAUACUUGUAAAAUAUGUAAAUAGCAGAAAAUAAAAUAUACAUUGUUUCUUCUAAUGUGUUAUUUAUUAUUGUGUUAUUUUGAAUAAACUAUUUAGUAUUACAGAGGGUAAUACAUCAAAUGCUUUUUCUAUGCCCACUGUAAAACAAAUGUGUAGAAUUACUAACAAGAGUCUUCUCAUGAAAAGUCAGUGUAAUAAUGAUCAUGACAAAUAAAAGAUGAUGUACA